rnacentral:tRNA from 9 species
GUCGGGAUAGCUCAGUUGG